rnacentral:precursor_RNA from 14 species
UGGAAGAAAUAUAGCAUCAGUCAGCCAUGGUCUCUUGAGAGCCAUAUGGAGGAGUUCAUUAAUAAAUUCUCCAUGUGGUCUCAAUAGACCAUAUCUGUCUGAAGAGUCUACAGUCCGAGG